rnacentral:rRNA from 1 species
UACGGAGGGUGCGAGCGUUGUCCGGAAUCACUGGGCGUAAAGCGCACGUAGGCGGCUCUUUAAGUCAGGGGUGAAAUCCUGGAGCUCAACUCCAGAACUGCCUUUGAUACUGAGGGGCUUGAGUCCGGGAGAGGUGAGUGGAACUGCGAGUGUAGAGGUGAAAUUCGUAGAUAUUCGCAAGAACACCAGUGGCGAAGGCGGCUCACUGGCCCGGUACUGACGCUGAGGUGCGAAAGCGUGGGAGCAAACAGG